rnacentral:rRNA from 1 species
AGCGAACGCUGGCGGCAGACUUAACACAUGCAAGUCGAGCGGGCGCAGCAAUGCGUCAGCGGCAGACGGGUGAGUAACGCGUGGGAACGUACCUUUUGGUUCGGAACAACACAGGGAAACUUGUGCUAAUACCGGAUAAGCCCUUACGGGGAAAGAUUUAUCGCCGAAAGAUCGGCCCGCGUCUGAUUAGCUAGUUGGUAGGGUAAUGGCCUACCAAGGC